rnacentral:sRNA from 1 species
GCCGGGCUCGGUGGAGCACUCCUGUAAUCCUAGCAAUUUAGGAGGCUGAGGCAGGAGAAUCACAAGUUUGAGGCCAGCCUCAGCAACUUAGCAAGGCCCUAAGCAAUUUAGUGAGACCCUGUCUCUA